GAAGCAGGUCCCUGUUCCAACUUCUCUUGCUUCUGAGAACCUUGGACCUACCCACAGUGGAGGUCCCACUAGGCUCCAGCUGGGCCUUAGAACUCUGAACACAUUCUUCAAGCAGCUGCUACCAAUUGUUAGAAAUGGGAGUGAGAUUAACAUUGCACCACACUGCUCCAUGGUAUACACUCCAAAUCAAGGUCAUCCCACCCUGAGGCCUGCCUGUCUUGGGAUCCCUAGCCAGGGCCCCUAAGGUCCUUAGCAGUUGUUCUCCCAAAGCCCACUAGAGGGUGCCCGACACCAGUAAACUCAAGACACCACAGCAGCUGCGGCCCAGGACUCUUCUGUCCAGGGCCUGAAACUUUUAGCCCUGGGCCACCCACCUCCCAGGGCUGUGGAGGGACCUGGCAGGGAAUCUGUAAGCCCUCCACUCACUGUAGGUCCCAGGAACCUGUAGUGCCACUUAUCUCCCUCACUCCCAGGUCUUUGGCCCUCUUAGCAAAGGGGCUGGAUGAGGGAUGCUGGGAGCCAAUGCAGGGAAACAGCACCCUUCUGCUCACAUCAUGCUUUCCCCUCAACCCUCUCAGUCCCUAGCCAACCCUUCCAUGGGGGCGGGGGGGGGCGCGGGG
rnacentral:lncRNA from 1 species